UUUUGUUUUAAAUAGUUGUCGAAAUCUAAUUCAAAUAUUGGAGAAAGAAGAUUUGUGAACUGAUAAAAAAUGUAUUUAGGUGCGUUUUGCUCAUUUUAAGGGAUUGCAAUUGUAUUUUGGUUUGUCAAAUAUUUUUUGUCUUAAAUAGUUUUCAAAAUCUAGUUCAAAUUUUAGAGAAAUCUGCGUGAUAUAUGGGAUUGGAAUAUAUUUGGAAUAUUUUUUGUUUGUUAAUCAAUUUAUUACCAAAAG
rnacentral:sRNA from 1 species